CUCUUCCGAUUUCUCUGUAGGGGACGGAGGAAGUAAAUCACAUUCCCCUUUUUCUCACAAGGGUCGGACAGCUAUUUCUUUAACAGAGCAGGGAAAAAAUAAUAAUAAUACUGAGAUUCCAGGUGGCAGCAUGAGCAAAAGAAAACCUGAAUAUACCAAAAUUCACACCAAGGUGGAGAGGCUUUGUUGCUGUCUGGCGUGCAGUUCUGCAGAAAUCCCCCGAUCUGGAGCGGUUUGGUCCAGCGCCAUGAAAACGGUCUGCACCGCACACCUUCGGAAGUGGAAAAAAACAGGAAAAAAAAAAAAAGAUAAAGAGCCCUCUGUGCAUGCCCCGGGGGGCUGCCUGACGGCGCUGUCACAUCAAAGCCGGCUGCUCCUGUACCAGGAGCACGCAGCGGGCGGCCUUCACCUUUACAGGUGCGGCCGGGGCUGGAGCAGCUCAAAUUUCUGUGGCCGAAGGUCUGCGCACCCGCUGCAUGCCAGCCGGGUGAAGCUUUGCAAAUGGCACCGCUCAGAGCAAGAGGCCGGUGCCUCCCGCCCCGGACCAGGAGCCCCGGCGUGGUGAUGUCCUCCAGGUCUCGCCGCCGUCCUCCCGAGCGUCUCCAGCCUGGGUCUCUCCAGCCCAGGGUAUUUCUGCAGCACCACAAGAGCGACAGCUCACGUCUCCCCUGGCUGCCCUCUUUGAUUUUUCUGACAACCCCGGAAAGAAACGCGGUGCUUUGGCGCAGAGCAGGAAGGGCAAACCCCCCCCUGCCAUAAACCCGGACUUUCCACCCGUGUAGCAGCAAGCAGGAAUCAUCGGGAGCUCUCGGAAAGCCACGGCCAGCUGGAGGAGAUUUUCUGCUGGAGGAAGCAUCCACUGUGCUUUUUAGGGUGGGUGCCGGCUUGCGGGAAAACCCUACAGCCUGGGAAGAGGCUGGUGGUUCAGCAGCUCAGCACCAAUCCUGCGCAGCUCCGGAGGGGUGGCAGAAGGUGUCCCUCGUCCCUGCCUGCUCCUCCCCUGCCCCAGCAGCUCCCAGUUUUGGGACCAACCUCUCCCGCUCCAGCCUCCGGUUCCCCAAGGGACAUUCAGUGAGAGAUGGGCGCUCAGCAAAGGGCAGUGAAUUUGCUGCGCU
rnacentral:lncRNA from 1 species